GACUUCGCCGACUACUUCACUAUCAUUUUCCACUGAGCAGGUUUUCAUUCAUUCACAAUUGGUACUCAGCCCAAGUCCCCAGCAUCCCCCGAGACCCUCCCCAUGCUUUCCGAGCUGUAGUUUAGCAUGCACUAGAAGACAAGCACUGGUGCUUUCUCGGUAGACCUACAGGCUGCCGGUUGGAGCCGUCCGGGAGCGAAAAGAAGAAUUAGACUGUGUGUUUAUGUGGCUGGGCUCCAGUAAAUAUUUUGAUGCAUCUGCUGCCAGCUCUGGUCUGAGGGAAUCUACCUGGCAUUUAGAUUUGGAUGGGGAGCUGUUUUGAAUGAUAACGGUGCAGCUGGCUGUGAGUCAGUGCAUGUGUGUUGGCUGGGAAAAAAAAAAAUCUCCUAGCUCAACGUUUGCUGAAUGCUGAGCUGCAGUGCUCGCUGCCUUUUUUUUUUGUGAGUAGACGAGCCAAACAGAUUUUUUUCGGGGGCGACAAGGAAACUCAAAAGUCACCCUCAACUACCUUUAAACAUGGGGGCUGUGAUGGGCACCUUCUCCUCACUGCAGACCAAACAAAGACGACCCUCCAAAGAGCCUUACGGUGUGUUGAAAUUAUGAAACGAG
rnacentral:lncRNA from 1 species